UGAACUCUCGGUAACCGCCUUAUCAACUUUACGCAUGAAAGCAAGUUACUACAAAUUAUAAAUAUUUGCCUACAUUAAACGGAAUUGCCGUAAAAUGAUGAGUCAUACGAAUAACAGAGCAAUCAAUGUGAUUCCGUAUUCUACUGGAUAAUCAAAAUGGUCGCUGAGAGACUUUCAUGGAAAGACGAGGUAAGCGGAAGAUGAGUUGGUGUCCAGCAUAUUGCUGUAUCCUGCUUAUAAUCCGGUAUAUAAAAGGCUGGGGUUUGCUAUCUGGGACAGUGGUCCUGAGGCUUUGACAUGGACAGGAUACCGUCUUCUCAUGACACGAGUGGGUGGGCUUCCUCCAAGAAAUUUGACUACCAUCCGAAUGCCUAGCUCGGACCAUCGGAAGCUUAUCGAGGCACCCACACAUCAGCCGUUAUAAUAUAGUCUACAUAGCACACACGCACAGACCGCAGCAGACAGCCUGUCGCCGUGUGAACAACGGUGUCAUACUAAUUUUGGAGACCACAAAGGUGGAGCGGUAAUAACGAUCAUGUCAAAAGAAGGUCCGACACCACAACAUGCGUUAAACACACGAUCAUAACAUUUUAUUAGUGGCGCGGUCAAAAGCAUCCGAGACCGCCAAGCAAAAGUUCAACCAAAAAAAUAACAGGUCAACUUGGAAGAGAUGUGGAGCCAUUCUACACGUUAAAUUUUACUCCUUAACUUAUUUUUUAUAUUUUUUAAAGUAGCUAAUGUUAUUUCAUAGCCUUUAAUUAAAAUAAAUUGAAGCAAGUCAAGCAGGGUGUUUUUUUUACAACAUUUUAAUGCAGAUCUUGUACAAUAAAAUAAUCUGAAUAAGAUGACAAUACUAAUUACUUUCUUUUAUUAAAUAAACUUAUUUGUCGAUCGCUACUAAAAUGAACAAUAAGGAGACUCGAUCGAAUUCCUUAGCCCAUUGAAGAACUGACCGGGCGACCAUAAAAACCGUAGAUACCUACACGUAAUACACAGGUUAUAAGGGAGCAUAAAAAAGUAGGGACCGCGUCGGAGGUCGGCGCGACUACUCGAGAAACAAAGAGUUCGUUUAUUUUUUAACAGCUCGCCCGUGGAGGCUGACUGCACGAAAAACGACUCAAACGAGCACCUUGUUACCUUCUUAAAAGAUAUCGCCGCUAACUAGAAUUUCGGCUCCAAAACCGAGAAAAGUUUGCGUCGACAGAGCGCCGGACGUCGGCCGGCGCCUGCGAAAUCAUUAUGUAAAUCAAACAUUAUACUGUUUAAACCGAACUUGCCGCGUCCGUCUGUGACCGUCUUUUGAACGCUGAAAGAACCAAG